rnacentral:lncRNA from 1 species
CUUUCUCUGUUACUAUACUGAUAUGUGAUUGUAUGGGCUUGGUGACUACAGAGCAGUUUUCUUCCAUCUGUUGCUCUUUCCUUUCAUUCUCAGUGAAUAAUGAGGGUUGCAGUCUAUUCUACCGAGAUAAUGGUGAGUUGGAAACAUCUUCUAUGAAGUCCCAGGAAUGUGUGCUACCUCAUGAGUAGAUUUUAGGACCGAGUGAAUUUCAGGAAUAUUUCUGGGGAAAUAGUGUUUUGUUCAACACUAUUCUACUUUAAGGUGAUGUGGGUGAUGCCUGCAGAAUGUAGGGGGGAAUGUACAGUACACUGAAACAUGCAUUUAUAUGUAUAUGUGUAUAAUCUGUUUCUUGUUUAUUAUUUCAUUGUAGGUGUUGAAAAAGUCAAGAGUUUGGAUGUUUGAGUGGAAUAAAUAUGAAGAGUUUGAAAGCAAAGUUCAGGAAGAGCGAUAUAACGGGCAGUUAGACUCCGGACAGCUGCUGCCAAGAGACACAACUUGGAAUUCACAUCACAUUGAGUUUCCACCAUAUCACAGGAGGAUCCUAGGGGAUAUUCUGCAAAUAAAUGGCAACCUUUGGAUCUGCUCUGCUAAUAAGACCUCGUGAUGCUUUAUCCCCUUUAAUGGCACAGUUCUGUUUUGGUUUCUUCUGUUGGGUGUGCUUUUGAGUGGUACAGUGGGGUCUUGACUUGAGAACUUAAUCCGUAUUGGAAGGCGGUUCUCAAGUCAAAAAGUUCUCAGGUCAAAUCUGCAUUUCCCAUAGGAAUGCAUUGAAAAUCAUUUGAUCCGUAUCUGCUCUUUUCCGUCCAUAGAAACUAAUGGGAAGCUGCUAUUCUGCCUUCGACCACUAGAGGGGGAUAUUUUGUUUCUUUUUUUCCUUUAAUGGCACAGUUCUGUUUUGGUUUCUUCUGUUGGGUCUACUUUUGAGUGGUAGAUGCUAUGCUGCAUGUGAAUGGCUGUAGUACUGUCAUGCUUUGGUGACUGCUUGGUGGAAGAAGGGUAAUUGAGCAUUGGUAAA